rnacentral:rRNA from 1 species
UACGUAGGGUGCAAGCGUUAAUCGGAAUUACUGGGCGUAAAGCGUGCGCAGGCGGUUUUGUAAGUCAGAUGUGAAAUCCUCGGGCUUAACCUGGGAACUGCGUUUGAAACUACAAGGCUAGAGUGUGGCAGAGGGGGGUGGAAUUCCACGUGUAGCAGUGAAAUGCGUAGAGAUGUGGAGGAACACCGAUGGCGAAGGCAGCCCCCUGGGUCAAGAUUGACGCUCAUGCACGAAAGCGUGGGGAGCAACAGG